ensembl:snoRNA
ACAUGAUGACGCUCCGGAAUCGCUGCACUGCCGUGAUGAAAGAUCAUUUGAACCCUUUGCCGGCUGAUGACCGUGGGCGCCUGGGG